UAGAUAGCCAUGCAUGUCUAAGUAUAAGCAAUUAUACAGCGAAACUGCGAAUGGCUCAUUAAAUCAGUUAUCGUUUAUUUGAUAGUACCUUACUACAUGGAUAACCGUGGUAAUUCUAGAGCUAAUACAUGCUGAAAACCCCGACUUCGGAAGGGGUGUAUUUAUUAGAUUAAAAACCAAUGCCCUUCGGGGCUCACUGGUGAUUCAUGAUAACUUCUCGAAUCGCACGGCCUUGCGCCGGCGAUGGUUCAUUCAAAUUUCUGCCCUAUCAACUUUCGACGGCUGGGUCUUGGCCAGCCGUGGUGACAACGGGUAACGGAGGGUUAGGGCUCGACCCCGGAGAAAACGCCUGAGAAACGGCGUUUACAUCCAAGGAAGGCAGCAGGCGCGCAAAUUACCCAAUGCCGACACGGCGAGGUAGUGACGAGAAAUACUGAUACAGGGCUCUUUUGGGUCUUGUAAUUGGAAUGAGUACAAUUUAAAUCUCUUAACGAGGAACAAUUGGAGGGCAAGUCUGGUGAACGUUCCAGUUCCGAUGCUGGUGCCAGAGAUAGCGGUUAAAUAGCCCACGCUAGUCGAGCAUCCGCCAUCAGCGGGAGGAUGCCGGCGAGACAACCUGGAUCGGGGGACGCUAAGGUGCCGAAGGGCGCUAUGCCAAUCCCGAGCGGAGUCCACUGACGGACCCGUGUAGAGCGCGCAAAGGUGUCGGUCCGGCUCGGUCGAGCUGGGCUUAAGGUACGUGCCGAUCCCCCGCGAAAGCGGGGCCGCGUCCAAGAGUGCCCGCUGCACGAAUGG
rnacentral:rRNA from 1 species